UACGGAGGGUGCAAGCGUUACUCGGAAUCACUGGGCGUAAAGGGCGCGUAGGCGGAUUAUCAAGUCUCUUGUGAAAUCUAAUGGCUUAACCAUUAAACUGCUUGGGAAACUGAUAGUCUAGAGUGAGGGAGAGGCAGAUGGAAUUGGUGGUGUAGGGGUAAAAUCCGUAGAUAUCACCAAGAAUACCCAUUGCGAAGGCGAUCUGCUGGAACUCAACUGACGCUAAGGCGCGAAAGCGUGGGGAGCAAACAGG
rnacentral:rRNA from 2 species